rnacentral:rRNA from 1 species
CACCGGCGGCUCGAGUGGUGGCCACUUUUAUUGGGUCUAAAGCGUCCGGAGCCGGCUGGGCAAGUCCCCUGGGAAAUCUGGCGGCUUAACCGUCAGGCGUCCAGAGGAUACUGCCAGGCUUGGGACCGGGAGAGGUGAGAGGUACCUCAGGGGUAGGGGUGAAAUCUUGUGAUCCCUGAGGGACCACCAGUGGCGAAGGCGUCUCACUAGAACGGGUCCGACGGUCAGGGACGAAAGCUGGGGGCACGAACCGG